rnacentral:lncRNA from 1 species
UUUGGGAUCAUCCCAGUAUGGUGCGUUUAAUUUUUUAUCGACAUUUGGGAGGAUAAACGGGCAAAACGGCGCGAACGGGGCAUUUAUGGCCAAAUUGGUGUGCUAUAGCCCACGGUUUUGGGGGUAGGCCCGAGGUUCGGGCGUGCUGUGGGCAGAAAAUCGAUCAGGGCGUCCCAAGGAGGUUGGGGAUCGUCCCAAUAUGGCCUGUUUAAUUAUUCGUGGCCAUUUGGAUGGACAAACGGGCGCAACGGCGCGAACGAGGCAAUUUUAGGCCAAAUCGGUGUGCUAUAACCCACAGUUUUGG